GCUUUGGGGCGGCAGGUAGCCUAGUGGUUAGAGUGUAGGGGCGGCAGGUAGCCUAGUGGUUAGAGUGUAGGGGCGGCAGGGUAGCCUAGUGGUUAGAGUGUAGGGGCGGCAGGUAGCCUAGUAGUUAGAGUGUAGGGGCGGCAGGUAGCCUAGUGGUUAGAGUGGAGGGGCGGCAGGUAGCCUAGUGGUUAGAGUGUAGAGGCGGCAGGUAGCCUAGUGGUUAGAGUGUAGGGGCGGCAGGUAGCCUAGUGGUUAGAGUGUAGGGGCGGCAGGUAGCCUAGUGGUUAGAGUGUAGGGGCGGCAGGUAGCCUAGUGGUUAGAGUGUAGGGGCAGCAGGGAGCCUAGUGGUUAGAGUGUAGGGGC
ensembl:lncRNA